ensembl:lncRNA
AGGGGAGGGAAGACCACGAGGAGAGAGUAGAAGUGAAGGGUUCACUGUGCGAUAGCGACUGCAGUGGACACAGAGCGCGCGCUGCCUGACCACUGCUUCAUCGCGAGGAAGAAGAUGAGGACCAUCUCUAUAGAGACGCGGGAACAUGUCACUCCUGUCCCUGAAGGAAGCUGUGCAGCUCCAGUGUUUGGAGAAGUUUCAGUUUACACGAUCAAGCAGGGGAGCCAGGCGGCCCCAGAUCUCCAGGAGACGCCCGCCACAGGGACAGCGCGAGGAUGUGACAGCACUUACAUUACAGCCCUGCGUGCCUCUCUACUGCUGCUGACCCCGAACUAUUGCUGGUGUACAACACAACCACGGAAACCAUUCAGAGUCGGGUUUAAAAUGCCAGUUUUACAGGAACAUUGA